CCUACGGGAGGCAGCAGUAGGGAAUAUUGCUCAAUGGGGGAAACCCUGAAGCAGCAAAGCAGCGUGGAGGAUGAAGGUUUGAGGAGUGGAAAAUCCGUGUGAUAGAGAAGAAAAUGAAGGUAGGUAAGGAAUAAGCACCGGAUAACUCCGUGCCAGAAGCCGCGGGAAUACGGAGGGUGCAAGCGUUACUCGGAAUCACUGGGCGUAAAGAGCGCGUAGGCGGGAUAGCAAGUCAGAUGUGAAAUCCUAUGGCUUAACCAUAGAACUGCAUGUGAAACGGUUAUUCUUGAGUAUGGUUGAGGUAGGUGGAAUUCUUUGUGUAGCGGUUACAUCCUU
rnacentral:rRNA from 1 species